GACGUAGGGGGCCAGCGUUGUUCGGAAUUACUGGGGGUAAAGGGUUCGUAGGCGGUGUGGCAAGUCGGGAGUGAAAUCUCUGGGCUCAACCCAGAGUCUGCUUCCGAAACUGCUGUGCUUGAGUGUGGGAGAGGCGCGUGGAAUUGCAGGUGUAGCGGUGAAAUGCGUAGAUAUCUGCAGGAACACCCGUGGCGAAAGCGGCGCGCUGGACCACUACUGACGCUGAGGAACGAAAGCUAGGGGAGCAAACAGG
rnacentral:rRNA from 1 species